rnacentral:rRNA from 1 species
AACGUAGGGGGCGAGCGUUGCCCGGAUUCACUGGGCGUAAAGCGGGUGUAGGCGGUUCGUUAAGUCGGAUGUGAAAUCUCCGAGCUCAACUCGGAAACUGCAUCCGAUACUGGCGAACUUGAGGACGGUAGAGGUCGGUGGAAUGACGGGUGUACCGGUGAAAUGGACAGAUAUCCGUCGGAACACCAGUGGCGAAGGCGGCCGACUGGGCCGUUCCUGACGCUGAGACCCGAAAGCCAGGGUAGCGAACAGG